GGGGAUGUUUUAUAUUUGACAAUAAAUCAAAUAAUAGGCAGCAAGUUGAGCUGACUAACUCAAAAAAUGGUCAAAAAGAAUAAGUGCAAAAAACUUAUUUGCGAAAGCUAGAGAACUUUUCCAAGUCCCUCAGUUUUCACCAGUUUUAGCCUAAACUGCUAAAACCGUUCGCUAUUUAUUUGCUCAAAGGUAAAUAAACGGACGUCAUUCAUUUGAGCUGUAGCAAAGAUGCGCUAAUUGCUUUGCCAAAUUAAAUAUUAGCUUUAAGUCAAAGUGUUUUGUAAUUUUUAUAGCUUUGGCUUGAAACUUAAAAAAUUACUAAACUUGUAGAAGUUUGUUAAGCGAUUUGUUAGACAGGGGUGUGAUUCCCCUCAUCUCCACCA
rnacentral:tmRNA from 1 species